rnacentral:lncRNA from 1 species
AACGCUAAAACCUAUCAAUCUCACUUGGAACUCAACUUUAACCCCUCCAACAUCGCUGGAGUGUUGAAUGGAUUUUGUCCAACCAUCUCUCUCACCACGUUUUGGUCAAUUUGACUAAAGUUCGAUAUAACCUACCGAGAUUCGAUAUAUUACAAAGUUGUCCUUCAUCCUCACCAUCAUUUAAUAUAUUUAAUACAAACUUUCAAUCUAUUAACUUAUAUGAAUUCCUAAUGUUUUUUGUUACGUGGCAAGUUGUCCGUCACGCUCACCAUCAUUUAAUAUAUUUAAUACAAACUUUCAAUUAAUAUAUUUAAUUAAUACAUCUAAACAUUUCCAUUAUCAAACUUUUAAUGGCAAGUUGUUCUUCACCCUCACCAGCAUUUGACCAUUCCCUUUCCCUUCAUCAAACUUUCAAAUAAUACAUUUAAUUAAUACAUCUAAACAUUCGCACCACCAAACUUUUCCUCCACCAAAUUUUUUAUCUCUAAUUAAUUCAUCAAUUCUCUCUCCCUCAUCUUUUCCCAUACACCGUCACUUCCUUCCCUCCUCUCAUUAAUGUCUGCCCAUCUCCCCCCUCCGUUACGGACGAAGGAAUCGUCGUCUUUUUUACUAUCACCGUU